rnacentral:tRNA from 1 species
GGCUGGGUAGCUGAGAGAGCGCAAGCGCCGGCCUGAAAAGCCGGAGAGAGUGGUGCGAGUCCACUACCAGCCA